AUUCUUUUGUGUUUCAUAAGCCCAUGACUGGGUUUUCAUGCCAGUGUGUGAAAUGUGCUUCCCUCGAACUUUGUUACUUUGUUGGCACAUUACCCAACUGACA
ensembl:snoRNA